UACAGAGGUCUCAAGCGUUGUUCGGAUUCAUUGGGCGUAAAGAGCGUGUAGGCGGCCCGGUAAGUCCGCUGUGAAAGUCAAAGGCUCAACCUUUGAAUGUCAGCGGAUACUGCCGGGCUAGAGUCCGGAAGAGGCGAGUGGAACUCCUGGUGUAGCGGUGGAAUGCGCAGAUAUCAGGAAGAACACCAACGGCGAAGGCAGCUCGCUGGGACGGUACUGACGCUGAGACGCGAAAGCGUGGGGAGCGAACAGG
rnacentral:rRNA from 1 species